AAUCCUGAACGCCCGGUUUUAUAUAACUCAUACUGCUAAUUCAUCAAAUGUGAAAUAAGCUAUUGAAAAUGGAGAUUCAGAAUUGACACAAGUUCUUGGUUUCAUAGAUUUUUCAUUAUUGUUAAAUAUAUAUCUUAUAUAAUAUUUUUUGUAUUUUUAUUAUUUGACUUUUGUUUAUACUUAUUUUUUUAAUGACUAAUUAUUGUUUAAACUUAUGUUAAUGAAUUUUAAAUUACUAAUCAAUUAUAUUUUUAAAUAUUUGUAGGCAACUAAAAGCUAUUUCCAAAUCAGACGUGGUGAAGCAAGGCCAUCUCUACAUAUUGCACACCAAAAAUCAGUAUGAGUUAUAUACAUUGCUUGUAUUCAAUGGCCAAUGUUAUCCCCACUCAGACAUUUCGACAAGCCAAUCCAGUUUUAAAUGAUCAACAAAUACAUGAAGAACAUAUGUUGCCCUUUCCUACGGAUCUUAACCAAGCAACAACAAUGGAUGCAAUGCAAACUAGAGAUGGUAUUGAUGAUACUAUAAUGGAGGAUCGUGGUCAAUAUUUUCCUGGAUAACCAUUAUGGUGUAUGAUACUUUAUUGUAAUGGAUUAUUUAUUGAGUGUGUAAACUCUAUUUAGAAAUUGGAUCUUGGAUGGAGUGGCUUGUUUUUUCAAGAUAUAGACAUUAUUUGCAUACUAUAUUUUUGAGUUGGACUACUAUUGUGUAUGUGAGAAAUUGGCUAAAUCCAUUAUGAAUUUUAUUCAUUUUAUGCCAUUAGC